UACGUAGGGGGCUAGCGUUGUCCGGAUUUAUUGGGCGUAAAGAGCGUGUAGGCGGCCAGGUAGGUCUGCUGUGAAAACUCGAGGCUCAACCUCGAGACGUCGGCGGAAACCAUCUGGCUAGAGUCCGGAAGAGGAGAGUGGAAUUCCUGGUGUAGCGGUGAAAUGCGCAGAUAUCAGGAAGAACACCAAUGGCGAAGGCAGCUCUCUGGGACGGUACUGACACUGAGACGCGAAAGCGUGGGGAGCGAACGGG
rnacentral:rRNA from 1 species